rnacentral:rRNA from 1 species
GACGAACGCUGGCGGCGUGCUUAACACAUGCAAGUCGAGCGGUAAGGCCCUUUCGGGGGUACGACGAGCGGCGAACGGGUGAGUAACACGUGGGUGACCUGCCCUCAGCUCUGGGAUAAGCCUGGGAAACCGGGGUCUAAUACCGGAUAUGACUCCAUGACGCAUGUUGUGGGGUGGAAAGCCUUGUGCGGCUGAGGAUGGGCCCGCGGCCUAUCAGCUUGUUGGUGGGGUGGAUGGCCUACCAAGGCGACGACGGGUAGCCGGCC